rnacentral:ncRNA from 1 species
GGCUCGGCUGGAGCUUCCGUCAGUGCAGAUCGUAAUGGUAGUAGCAAAUAUUCAAGUUCGAUCCUUGAAGACUGAAGUGGAGAAGGGUUCCACGUGAACAGUAGUUGGAUGUGGGUCAGUCGAUCCUAAGGUACUGGCGAAAGCCUUGUAUCAUCGGUGGCGAAAAGCUUGCUUUUUGUCCCCGCCCGUCGAAAGGGAAUAGGGUUAAUAUUCCCUAACUGAGAUGCAAAGAUUGUGUUCUUCGGAGCACAAGCGCGGUAACGCGUUCGAACUUGGUAAGUCGCUCAGAGACCGAGCUAGAGUUUUCUUCUCUAGUUAAGGAACGGACUCCCUGGAAUUGGUUCAGCCAGAGAUGGGGACGUUGUUUCCGAAAAGCACCGCGGUUUCUGUAGGUGUCUCGUGCUCUCUGAACGGCCCUUUAAACACCAAGGGAGGCUAUUAAUUUGCACUCAAUCGUACCGAUAUCCGCAUUAGGUCUCCAAGGUGAACAGCCUCUAGUCGAUAGAAUAAUGUAGGUAAGGGAAGUCGGCAAACUAGAUCCGUAACUUCGGGAAAAGGAUUGGCUCCAGUGGUCGGAACGGUUGGCCAGUUGGUUGAUGCUUGUCCGGCGCUGUUCUGUCUGCUUGAUGCUUUCGGGCUGAUGGCGGCCUAGUGAUAGUGCUUGCUUGUUGACGCUUUCUGGUGUGUGCUUUGACCUCGGUCUUAGUAUCCUGAUCGUUCAUCUAAACGACUAAACUGGAACCGGUACGGACUCAGGGAAUCCGACUGUCUAAUUAAAACAGAGGUGACAGAUGGUCCUUGCGGACGCUGACUGUCACUGAUUUCUGCCCAGUGCUCUGAAUGUUAAAUCGUAGUAAUUCGAGUAAGCGCGGGUAAACGGCGGGAGUAACUAUGACUCUCUUAAGGUAGCCAAAUGCCUCGUCAUUUAAUUGUUGACGCGCAUGAAUGGAUUAACGAGAUUCCUACUGUCCCUAACUACUAUCUAGCGAAACCACAGCCAAGGGAACGGGCUUGGCAAAAAUAGCGGGGAAAGAAGACC